AUCUGACAUGGGGUAAAAUUGUUAAUCAGGUCAAGAUCUAUUUGCCCUGAAAUUUUCAGAUGAAUCGGACAACCCAUUGUUGGGUUGCUGCCCCUGAAUUGGUAAUUUUAAGGAAAUUUUGCCGUUUUUGGUUAUUAUCUUGAAUAUUAUUAUCGAUAGAGAUAAACUGUAAACAGCAAUAAUGUUCAGCAAAGUAAGAUCUACAAAUAAGUCAACUUGACCAAAAUGGUCAGUUAACCCCUUAAGGAGUUAUUGCCCUUUAUAGUCAAUUUUUAACCAUUUUUCGUAAAUUUUUGUAAUCUUUUACAAAAAUCUUCUCCUCUGAAACUACUAAGACAAAUUUAACCAAACUUGUCCACAAUCAUCAUUAGGGUAUCUAGUUUAAAAAAUGUGUCAGAUGACCCCGCCCGCGAACCAAGAUGGCGGACAUGGCUAAAAAAUAGUACAUAGGGUAAAAUGCAGUUUUUGGCUCAUAUCUCUGAAACCAAAGCAUUAAUAGCAAAUCUGAUGAGUAUAAAAUUGUUCAUUAGGUCAAGAUCUAUCUGCCCUGAAAUUUUCAGACCAAUCAGGCAACCCGUUGUUGGGUUGCUGCCCCUGAAUUGGUAAUUUUAAGGAAAUUUUGCAGUUUUUGGUUAUUAUCUUGAAUAUUAUUAUAGAUAGAGAUAAACUGUAAACAGCAAUAAUGUUCAGCAAAGUAAGAUCUACAAAUAAGUCAACUUGACCAAAAUGGUCAGUUAACCCCUUAAGGAGUUAUUGCCCUUUAUAGUCAAUUUUUAACCAUUUUUCGUAAAUUUUUGUAUUUUUUUACAAAAAUCUUCUCCUCUGAAACUACUUAGACAAAUUUAACCAAACUUGUCCACAAUCAUCAUUAGGGUAUCUAGUUUAAAAAAUGUGUCCGAUGACCCCGCCCGCGAACCAAGAUGCCCGACAUGACUAAAAAAUAGUACAUAGGGUAAAAUGCAGUUUUUAUACGACCGCAAAAAAUUUUUGUGGUCGUAUAUUGGUAUGACGUUGGCGUCGUCGUUGUCGUCCUCGUCGUCCGAAGACACAUUGGUUUUCGCACUCUAACUUUAGUUUAAGUGAAUGGAUCUCUAUGAAAUUUUACCACAAGGUUCAAUACCACAAAAGAAAGGUUGGGAUUGAUUUUGGGGGUUAUGGUACCAACAGUAAAGGAAUUAGGGGCCAAAAAGGGGCCAAAAAUAAGCAUUUUUGUAACUUCCAGACAUUACUUGUGUGUUAGUGUAUGGAUCUCUCUGACAUUGUACCACAAGGUUCCAUAUCACAAAAGGAAUGCUGGGAUUGAUUUUGGGGGUAAUUGCCUCAAAAUUUUAGGAAUUAGGGGCCAAAAAAGGGGCAAAAAACAAGCAUUUUUCUAGUUUCAUGACAAUAACUUGUGUGUAAGUGUAUGGAUCUUUCUGAAAUUGUACUACAAGGUUCCAUAUCACAAAGGGAAAGCUGGAAUUGAGUUUGGGGGUAAUUGCCGAAACGUUUAGGAAUUGGGGGCCAAAAAGGGGCCAAAAAUAAGCAUUUUUCUAGUUUCCAGACAAUAACUUGUGUUCAAGUGUAUGGAUCUCUCUGAAAUUGUACUGCAAGGUACCAUACCACAAAGGGAAGGCUGGGAUUGAUGAUGGGGGUAAUUGCCUCAAUAUUUUAGGAAUUAGGGGCCAGAAAGGGGCAAAAAACAAGCAUUUUUCUAGUUUCAGGACAAUAACUUGUGUGUAAGUGUAUGGAUCUUUCUGAAAUUGUACUACAAGGUUCCAUAUCACAAAGGGAAAGCUGGGUUUGAGUUUGGGGGUAAUUGCCCUAAACGUUUAGGAA